GGGCCACCCGCCAGCCCCGCGCUCUACCAGGCAGAGCGCGUGUGGCCGCCGAGCACAUGGACCCACUGGUCAAGCGGGCUCGGCAAGGCCAGGAUGAAGAGAAGCUACGAACUUAGCAUUCCCAGAGCCCCCCGAGUGGAUAUCCGCGUGGAAAGGAUGUUGGCAGCCCCGGUGACCUCGGAGUCACGGCUGGAUCCACCCUCUUGGGCUGGGACACUGCCUGAUUGAGGUGGCCAUUGAGAAUUCAAGUGUACCUCUUGGUCCCUGAUGCAGAAAUGAAGUCCCCAGCAUGCUCAAGAAGAGCUUCCUUGGAGGAUGAGAGGCAUGGGAAUCUAAGUAUACCCUUUAAGCGUUCCAGAAGGAUUUUGAGAUCCUUUCCUAAAUCAAAGGUGGAAUAUUUGGGGAUUUGGAAAAUUGAGAUGUGAAGCGUUGACUUAAGAGAUGCCAAGUAACUCAGCAGAUGUCACACAGACGAUAAAUAGCAAAGAUGGAAGUCUUCAUGCCGGAGGCAAUCCUAUAAGACAGCUGAGUUCUGCAGAGCUGGUAGGAGACAGACUUGCUCAGGUGAUAGAUCCAGCCAUGAUACUGACCCUAAGAGAAUGAGACGCUCUGCAGAAGACAGAAGAUUCCUGAAACUGGGAAAGGUGCCUAGAAAUCCUGAUAAGAGUGAAGAAGGGUACCUGGAGGCACAGCAGCCAUGUUGAACCUAUGAGGUGAUGAAAAACCAUGCAACUAGAAACCAGAAUGGAAGAAAAGAAGAAGCUGGAUCCUUGACUGAAUUGUCGAUGGGGGAUAGUCCAUCAUCCCAGGGCUAAGACCACCUCCAGAUUUCUUGUUUGGUGAAACAAGUCCUGAUUGUUUACAUUCCCUCGUGUUGAGCUGUCUCUUGCUUGUAGCUGAAAGCAUUUCUAAUAGAUAUUCAGAUUAUCAGCCUUAGCUCCAAGCUAGAAUACUCUAUGGGACCUUAGCUUCUCCAUGAAUUCCUUUGCUCAUCUGUGUAAUGCUCAAUAAAUGUAAAUUGAACCCUGAAUGAGGGACAAUGACA
rnacentral:lncRNA from 1 species